rnacentral:rRNA from 1 species
AGAUUGAACGCUGGCGGCAUGCCUUACACAUGCAAGUCGAACGGUAGAGUAGCAAUACUUGAGAGUGGCGAACGGGUGAGUAAUAUAUCGGAACGUGCCCAGUCGUGGGGGAUAACGUAGAGAAAUUUACGCUAAUACCGCAUACGAUCUAAGGAUGAAAGCGGGGGACCUAAGGCCUCGCGCGAUUGGAGCGGCUGAUAUCAGAUUAGGUUGUUGGUGAGGUAAAAGCUCACCAAGCCGACGAUCUGUAGCUGGUUUGAGAGGACGACCAGCCACACUGGGACUGAGACACGGCCCAGACUCCUACGGGAGGCAGCAGUGGGGAAUUUUGGA